GAUGAACGCUGGCGGCGUGCCUAAUACAUGCAAGUCGAACGAAGAUCUAGCUUGCUAGAUCUUAGUGGCGAACGGGUGAGUAAUACAUAAAUAAUCUGCCCAUAUGACUGGGAUAACUAUUGGAAACGAUAGCUAAUACCGGAUAGGUUGAUCGGAGGCAUCUCUGAUGAAUUAAAGUAGGAUUUCUACACAAAUGGAUGAGUUUAUGGCGCAUUAGUUAGUGGGUGGGGUAACGGCCUACCAAGACGAUGAUGCGUAGCCAACCUGAGAGGGUGACCGGCCACACUGGGACUGAGACACGGCCCAGACUCCUACGGGAGGCAGCAGUAGGGAAUUUUCGGCAAUGGGCGCAAGCCUGACCGAGCAACGCCGCGUGAGUGAUUAAGGCCUUCGGGUUGUAAAGCUCUGUUGUAAGGGAAGAACAUUCAGGAUAGGAAAUGAUCUUGAACUGACGGUACCUUACCAGAAAGCCACGGCUAACUACGUGCCAGCCGCCGCUGUAA
rnacentral:rRNA from 1 species